rnacentral:rRNA from 1 species
UACGGAGGGUGCAAACGUUGCUCGGAAUCAUUGGGCGUAAAGCGCACGUAGGUGGCCUGUUAAGUCGGGUGUGAAAUCCCUGGGCUCAACCCAGGAAGUGCACUCGAAACUGGCAGGCUUGAGUACUGAAGAGGGUCGCGGAAUUCCCGGUGUAGAGGUGAAAUUCGUAGAUAUCGGGAGGAACACCAAUGGCGAAGGCAGCUCGCUGGGACGGUACUGACGCUGAGGCGCGAAAGCGUGGGGAGCAAACAGG